UAAUUAUUAAAUUAUUAUCAAAAAUACAAAUAAUAACAUUGCAAAAUAUAAACACUGUUAAGCGAACAUAACCUGCAAAAGACUCUGCCAAAUACACCCGCUGCAAAAUGCGCACUGGCACAAAGCAGGGCGCCAGCAGAGAGUGCAAUGCACUCAACUCUGCGUACAUUGGCCCCAAAAAAGCAAUACAAACACAAACACACACGCACACGCACACAGAGAGGCGGGCAGGCACAUAAACGGUCACACUGCUUCGCUCACAAGCAGACGGAUAACAGAUAACAGAUACAGGCAUGCCAGGCAAACACAUAUAGACACACAUAUGCACACACACACACACACACACAGCAACAGAGAGACGUACGCUAAGCAAGUUGGACGACCUUCCCACACAUUGCCAUCUCGCUCGCACACCAGUCUCGGCCAUUGACGUUACGUCUCAGGCAGCGUUUGAGCAGUGCUGUACGCCUAUUGAAUUAACAUCGCAUGACGCAAAGUUCGCGGAACGUACAUUUUUCACAGAUUUAACACGAAUGGCGAGCGGCAGCGGCGGCGUCGCAAUCGCCAUUCAAAUUUGGCGUUAACAUAGAAAAUCAUUAGAAGCGAACGCAGCAGCUACCAAGUUUUCAUAGAAAUAGCAAAAAAAAGGACGCAACUUUACGCCCAGCCAGGUGGAUAGAUGCGGCUAGAGUUGGAGUUGGAGCUGGAGCUGAAGCUGGAGUUGGUGCUGGGCGCUGCGAGCUGGGAACUGCGGCCUGAAGCUGGCCACGAGUUUAGUUUGGAGUUGCCACAUUACACAGAGAGAGAGAGAGAGAGAGACACGCACACUUGCACAUGCACAAUAACAUUUGCGAGGGAUCGCUGUAAAAUUAACAUAACAAAAGGCGGCAACUUUCGAAUUACAUAUAAUUUUAUGGCGAAAGCGAAAACAGAAGUCGUACAGCGCAAAGUGAAACGCAGACACACGCACACACACAUACAGAGAUACCCAACGCUAGACAAACAGGGUGGCAGAUGAAUAGAGUGCUCCAUGAGUACUCUCCCCCGCGCCCCUGUAAAAACCGCGAAUUCCAUUUUGCCAGUCAUCUGUGAUUGAGCAAAAAAUCGAAAAAGAUGGCUACUAACAGCGCGGGCUAACAGAAAACAUAGACAGAGGAGCCCGUCAGCGUGUGGGGAACGCGCAAUUGGGGAACAUUAAACGGGGAGCUGCCCCUCCGACCCAGCCCAGCCCAUGGGCUGACAUUUGUUUCUCCGCUAAGGGGCGCGGCGCCAAAGACCUUCUCAAGGCUGACUGACAAGCAUAUUGGAGCCGCCACAUUAAAUCCAACAACGGCACAGCGCGCGCACACACGUCGACAUGGGGAAGUCUUGACUACCGGAACAGGCGCACAGCAUUACCGAAAAGCUUGGCAGAGUGCAAACAACGUGCGAUAGCAAUAAACGCGUUGCCCCUCCCAACUGUGCGCCGCUGCCAUCCGAACGUUUCACUUGUCUCGUUAUGUCACACGCCUGUGCCCAGUCCGAGGACUGUGAUUUAACGGAACAGUGGCGCAGCUCUAAGCAGCCCGGCUAAUCUCUCAAAGCUCCAUGGACACUUGGCUGUGCAAUAGAUCUGUCGAUUUGAAGUAGAGUGGGCUAGGUGUCAGAUCUGAAUCUUAGAGAUAGAAUUUAGUUUUUUUUUAUAAAAAAAAUUUUCUUUUUAUUUAGAUUAAAAAUUAUGUCUACCCUAAAGUUUCUUAUUCAAAA